AUUGAACGCUGGCGGCAUGCUUUACACAUGCAAGUCGAACGGCAGCGCGGGCUUCGGCCUGGCGGCGAGUGGCGCACGGGUGUGUAAUGCAUCGGAGCGUGCUCCGCAGUGGGGGAUAGUACGGCGAAAGCAGGAUUACUAACGCAUACGACCUGCUGGUGCAAGCGGGGGACCGAAGGGCCUUGUGCUAUUGUAGCGGCCGAUGUCGGAGUAGCUAGUUUGUGGGGUAAAGGCUUACCAAGGCGACGAUCCGUAGCUGGACUGAGAGGACGACCGGCCACACUGGGACUGGGACACGGCCCAGGCUCCUACGGGAGGCAGCAGUGGGGAAUUUUGGACAACGGUGGCAACCCUGAUCCAGCCAGGCCGCGUGCGGGAAGGAGGCCUUCGGGUUGUAAACCGCUUUUGUUCGGGAAGAAAUCCUCUGGGCUAAUACCCCGGGGGGAUGAUGGUACCGGAAGAAGAAGCACCGGCUAACUACGUG
rnacentral:rRNA from 1 species